AGAGUUUGAUCCUGGCUCAGGACGAACGCUGGCGGCGUGCUUAACACAUGCAAGUCGAGCGAUGAAGCACCUUCGGGUGUGGAUUAGCGGCGAACGGGUGAGGAACACGUGAGGAAUCUGCCCUUCACUCUGGGAUAACUCCGGGAAACCGGGGCUAAUACCGGAUAUUUUCAACUGGCGGCAUCGCCGGUUGAAGAAAGUUUUUCGGUGAAGGAUGACCUCGCGGCCUAUCAGCUUGUUGGUGAGGUAAUGGCUCACCAAGGCAACGACGGGUAGCCGGCCUGAGAGGGCGACCGGCCACACUGGGACUGAGACACGGCCCAGACUCCUACGGGAGGCAGCAGUGGGGAAUAUUGGGCAAUGGAGGAAACUCUGACCCAGCGACGCCGCGUGAGGGAUGAAGGCCUUCGGGUUGUAAACCUCUUUCAGCAGGGAAUAAGCGAAAGUGAAGGUACCUGCAGAAGAAGCACCGGCUAACUAUGUGCCAGCAGCCGCGGUAAUACAUAGGGUGCAAGCGUUGUCCGGAAUUAUUGGGCGUAAAGAGCUCGUAGGUGGUCGAUCACGUCGGAUGGAAAUUCUGAGGCUUAACCUCGGACCUGCAUUCGAUACGGGUUGACUAGAGUGUGGUAGGGGAGACUGGAAUUCCUGGUGUAGCGGUGGAAUGCGCAGAUAUCAGGAGGAACACCGAUGGCGAAGGCAGGUCUCUGGGGCAUUACUGACACUGAGGAGCGAAAGCGUGGGGAGCGAACAGGAUUAGAUACCCUGGGUAGCCACGCCGGAAACGGUGGGCGCUAGUUGUGGGAACCUUCCACGGUUCUGCGACGCAGCUAACGAUUAAGCGCCCGCCUGGGGAGACGGUCGAAGACUAAACUCAAAGGAUUGACGGA
rnacentral:rRNA from 1 species